rnacentral:misc_RNA from 1 species
GUUCAAAGUGAUCACGUGGUAGUCCUUGUUCAAUGCUCUCUAGCUUUGUCAGAUGUUCAUUCUGUUUUGUAUUCAUAUCUUGUGACCAUCCACUCAUGUUAUUUGUGGUCGCGGGUGAGCCUUUUUCAGUACCAAUCAACCCACUUGACCCACAACUUGUCAUUUGCUCAAGAAUCUUGGGGAAAACUUUCUGGCACAAUGCAACCCUUGUAUCAGAGUGAA